rnacentral:rRNA from 1 species
GACAGAGGGUGCAAACGUUGUUCGGAAUUACUGGGCGUAAAGCGCGUGUAGGCGGCUGCGCAAGUCGGAUGUGAAAUCCCAUGGCUCAACCAUGGAAGUGCACCCGAAACUGCGUAGCUAGAGUCUCGGAGAGGAAGGCGGAAUGCUUGGUGUAGAGGUGAAAUUCGUAGAUAUUGGGAAGAACACCAGUGGCGAAGGCGGCUAACUGGUCCAGAUCUGACGCUGAGGUGCGAAAGCGUGGGGAGCAAACAGG